GUGUCUCCUUCUGUUGAUAUUGCACUUACAAAUACACUAACAAAUGAGCGCUUACAAAUGGAGACUAUUGAAUGUAUUGUUCUCAACACCAAGAAUCCUUAACAAAUCAUUCCUUUUUGAUUUGGAUCCAGCGCAGUGAGAAAAAUAUACCAAGUUUAACCUGGGGCAAUAGUUAUCUCUAUUCAGGUUCUGGGGCAUAUGGUAUCAAAGGAGGAAGCUGAGGAGUUUCAGUCUAUAACAGCUAACACAAUAAAGAAAGAAGUGUAACAACGGUUUCAUUCAAUAAAGAAAGAAGUGUAACAAGAGUUUCAAACAAUAAAGAAAUGUAUCAACGGUUUCAAACAAUAAAGAAAGAAGUGUAACAACGGUUUCAAACAUUCUUCCGUAAAAAACGUUUAAAAGACGUUUAAAAAACGUUUAAAAGACAUUUAAAACGUAACUUUUAAAAACAAAUGCCGUAGGGUUACGUAUAAAACAAGUUCUGAGAUUUGCAAAGUUUAAAAAAAAAUGUGAUUAAAAUUU